rnacentral:rRNA from 1 species
AUUGCCUCAGUAACGGCGAGUGAAGCGGCAACAGCUCAAAUUUGAAAUCUGCCGCAAGGCCGAGUUGUAAUUUGUAGAGGAUGCUUCUGGGCAGCGGCCGGUCUAAGUUCCUUGGAACAGGACGUCAUAGAGGGUGAGAAUCCCGUAUGCGACCGGUUGGCACCCGUCACGUAGCUCCUUCGACGAGUCGAGUUGUUUGGGAAUGCAGCUCUAAAUGGGUGGUAAAUUCCAUCUAAAGCUAAAUACCGGCCAGAGACCGAUAGCGCACAAGUAGAGUGAUCGAAAGAUGAAAAGCACUUUGGAAAGAGAGUUAAAAAGCACGUGAAAUUGUUGAAAGGGAAGCGCAUGCAACCAGACUUGUCGGCGGUGUUCCGCCGGUCUUCUGACCGGUCUACUCGCCGCGUUGCAGGCCAGCAUCGUCUGGUGCCGCUGGAUAAGACUUGAGGAAUGUAGCUCCCUCGGGAGUGUUAUAGCCUCUUGUGAUGCAGCGAGCGCCGGGCGAGGUCCGCGCUUCGGCUAGGAUGCUGGCGUAAUGGUCGUAAUCCGCCCGUCUUGAAACACGGACCAAGGAGUCUAACAUCUAUGCGAGUGUUCGGGUGUCAAACCCCUACGCGUAAUGAAAGUGAACGGAGGUGAGAACCGCAAGGUGCAUCAUCGACCGAUUCUGAUGUCUUCNGAUGGAUUUGAGUAAGA